UCCCUGGCAGUCUAGUGGUUAAGAGUCAGCACUUUAACUGCUAUGAGCCUAGGUUCAGUCCCCUGGUCAGGGAA
rnacentral:tRNA from 1 species